rnacentral:rRNA from 1 species
UACGAGGGGUGCAAGCGUUGCUCGGAAUUAUUGGGCGUAAAGGGUAGGUAGGUGGUCUCAUUUGUCCGGGGUGAAAGCCUUGAGCUUAACUCAAGAAGUGCCCCGGAAACGGUGAGACUCGAGUACUGGAGAGGGUCGUGGAAUUCCACGUGUAGCAGUGAAAUGCGUAGAGAUGUGGAGGAACACCGAUGGCGAAGGCAGCCCCCUGGGUCGACACUGACGCUCAUGCACGAAAGCGUGGGGAGCAAACAGG